UUCUUCAGGGCGGGGUGCAAGUCCCCACCGGCGGUAAAGCCCGCGAGCCGUAUGGCUGAUCCGGUGAAAUUCCGGGGCCGACAGUACAGUCUGGAUGGAAGAAGA
rnacentral:ncRNA from 1 species